rnacentral:rRNA from 1 species
GGGUGCGUAACGCGUAUAGAACCUACCUUUUACAGAGGAAUAGCCUUUAGAAAUGAAGAUUAAUGCCUCAUGGUAUUGUAGACUGGCAUCAGUUUAUAAUUAAAGAUUUAUCGGUAAAAGAUGGCUAUGCGUCCUAUUAGUUAGUUGGUAAGGUAACGGCUUACCAAGACAGCGAUAGGUAGGGGUCCUGAGAGGGAGAUCCCCCACACUGGUACUGAGACACGGACCAGACUCCUACGGGAGGCAGCAGUGAGGAAUAUUGGACAAUGGAGGAGACUCUGAUCCAGCCAUGCCGCGUGUAGGAAGAAUGCCCUAUGGGUUGUAAACUACUUUUAUACAGGAAGAAACACUGGUAUGUAUACCAGCUUGACGGUACUGUAAGAAUAAGGACCGG